GCCUACGGGGCGCAGCAGUGAGGAAUAUUGGUCAAUGGGAGCGAUCCUGAACCAGCCAAGCCGCGUGAGGGAAGACGGCCCUAUGGGUUGUAAACCCCUUUUGUCGGAGAACAAAACCCGGGACGUGUCCCGGACUGCGAGUAUCCGAAGAAAAAGCAUCGGCUAACUCCGUGCCAGCAGCCGCGGUAAUACGGAGGAUGCGAGCGUUAUCCGGAUUUAUUGGGUUUAAAGGGUGCGUAGGCGGUCCGUUAAGUCAGCGGUAAAAUUGCGGGGCUCAACCCCUUCGAGCCGUUGAAACUGGCUGA
rnacentral:rRNA from 1 species